GAUGAACGCUGGCGGCGUGCUUAAUACAUGCAAGUCGAGCGGUGAAAGCGGAGGUUUCUCUGCUUGAUCAUUGCCGAACGGGUGAGUGUCACGUGAGCAAUCUGCCCCUGACUCUGUGGGAUGCGCUGGGAACAGCGGCUCAUACACCGUACGAUCUGCUGAGGCAUCUUCAUCAGCUGUGAAGAAUUUCGUUCAGGGCUGAUCUCGAUGCCUAUCAGCUUGUUGGUGAGGUAAUGGCUGUCCAAGGGGUCGACGGGUAGCCGGCCUGAGAGGGUGACCGGCCACACUGGGACUGCGAGAGGGCGCAGACUCCUACGGGAGGCAGCAGUGGGGAAUAUUGCACAAUGGGCGAAAGCCUGAUGCAGCAACGCCGCGAGAGGAAAGACGGCCUUCGGGUUGUAAACCUAUUUUAGCAGGGAAGAAGCGAAAGUGACGGUACCUGCAGAAAAAGCGACGGCUAACUACGUG
rnacentral:rRNA from 1 species